rnacentral:tRNA from 1 species
GGGGAAAUACCAGAGCGGCCAAAUGGGGCAGACUGUAAAUCUGCUGGGAAACCUACGGUGGUUCGAAUCCACCUUUCCCCA